UUUUUUUUUUUUCUUUUUUGUUUUUGCUUCUUUGUUUCUAUUAACCCAGGGAACCAAAAUGAUCAUCACAAAAUUGACCUGAGGAAUUUAUACUUUUCUUCUUCCCUCCUUUGAGUCUGGGUCUCUCUUCUCCUCCCUCCAGAUUUCAAAUUGGCUCCAGAUUUUAUAUGAGAAGCAGUAACAGAUCUAAAAGAAACAAACUGAGAAGGAAUUUAAGGAGCAAACUAACUGAUGAACUCUAAUCUGCUCGCUACAGGUUUGAGUGAAAAAUCCAUGCUAUGCUCAAGAAGAAUUCAGCCAUUCACAGAGGAGGUCAGGUCAGGCUGAUGUCUAUAUUUGGCAUCUCAAAAAAAAAAAAAAAUUACAUCAUUUAUACAUUCAACAUUUAGGGAACACUUUACCAAGAGUCUGGCUAGUUGUUACAGAUUAUCGAGUUGAAUAAAACAAGGCUUUUUCUGCCUCCAAGAUUCAAUUAGGUAACUGCCAACACCACCGCUCAUAUAUUUUCACACACCUGUCUUCUCACUGAAUCUGUAAUUUUUACUUAGGGCAAGAACAGUAUUCAUUUACAUAUGCUUAGUAAACACUAGCUGAUGAUUUACUAAAGGCUCCUGUGCUUUAUGAGUUCAUGGUGAAACAAAAGAGUUGAGCAUAUAAAUAGCAAAUUAAGAUUACAGGGUAAUACUGCUGCUACAGAGAAAAGAGCCAAAGCAUGGGGCCACAAAGGAAGCCUGCUGAGGCAGGGGUAGGCGUAACCGCAGAUGUGACACUGAAAUAAGAGUUGAAAGAUAAGGAGAACUCUAUCAGUGGAGGAAAAGUGAUAGUAGAGGGAAUUUCCUGCAGAGAAAACAGCAUGUACAAAAAUAACUAAUAGCUAAUAAUUAUCAAGGACUUUUUGGGAGUUCCCAUCGUGGCGCAGAGAAACGAAUCCGACUAGUAACCAUGAGGCUGCAGGUUUGAUCCCUGGCCUUGUUCAGUGGUUAAGGAUCUGGAGUUGCCAUGAGGUCGAAUAUGCGGCUCGGAUCCUGCAUUGCUGUGGCUGUGGUGUAGGCCGGCAGCUGUAGCUCCAAUCAACCCCUAGCCUGGGAACCUCCAUAGGCCAUGGGUGUGGCCUGAAAAAGCAUUAAAAAAAAAAAAAAAGAAUUAUAUGAAACAGGUUGAGAAUAUAUUAAGGAUUAAUUCAAUCAUAGUUAUUAUAUUUCAGAAAAGAAAUAGCAUAUAUGGAAUGCCUAUGCCAUAAAAUAAUUUUCAUAUAUUAUUUCAUCUCUACAGCAACCCGGUAGAGUAUAAAAACCCUAUGAUGCUAUCACUUUAAUCUUACAUUGAGGAAAAUGAGACUCAGAGGCAUUUAAGUAACUUGUCCAAGGUCACACAGGUAGCACUUAGCAGAGCCUGCUUUCAGACCAAGGUCUUUCUGAGUCCAAAGCCUCAGUCUCUGUUCUUUGCAGUUUACCUGCCUGCACCCCAGAUAAGUUCCAGUGUAGAAAAAAUAAGGAGGAAUCAGAUAUGCCCCAAAUGUCUGAGGUCAGUGUGAGGGACUAGAAAGGAAAGAUUGGAUCACAUUCACAUGUAGCUUGGGAUGUGUAUGAAAAAUGUUUGGAACAUGUGCAAGAUGAGGCAGGGGAGAAACCAAAAGGGAAGAAGACAGCCAACAGCAAAUGUCAUGCUCCUCAACUUCUCUUUCAGCUAAUAACACAAUAAUAGUAGAGAUGACUCAUAAUCAUAUUUCAGUCCUUGUGCUAGGAGUCUCCAAGGUAAAAAUCCCAUAUUGUAAUACCAGUGUGUUGUUUCCUCUUGAUCUUACUACCAUUAUGUCCCAGAAAAUGUUCCAAAACCUAACAGAGGAAGUUCAGAAAAAUCACAGGAAAUAUCUAAUCUCCUUUAUUCUAAGAAAUGGAAACAAACUCUUCAAGGUUAGUUCUUAUGUGCAUCAUUAGCAUCAAGGCAUGUUGGAAGAGGAUUCAGGUAACUAAUAAAGCAUAGAUGGCUUCAAAUCACCCUACAGAAAAACAAAAGCUCUUUCACAAUAACAUAACAAAAAAACUUGAUUUCUGGUGUUUUCCUCUGUCACACAGCUCCCCUAAACUUGGAACAAAUAGGCCUUUGCAUUCUCCAGUCAAUGCCCAGGAAACUUUCAUACUGUAAAUGUUUUGAGUCAUGCAGUCAGCAGUCAGGUUAGGCACAAGUAGAAAUGGCAGCACAGAAAACCAAACCAAACAAACAAACAAAACUCUCCUUGGAAUAAAAAGUUCUCAAGUGAGGCACCAUACCAAGUUCUCCCACCUGAUGCCACAAGGCUGUGAACCCAGAAAGAUGCAUAGUCCAGGCUUAGAACGCAAACUUGGAGAAAGAAAACAAAGAAGGGGUGGCUCAGCAGACUCUGAUAGGGAGUGAAAUAAUCCUGCCUGUUUAAAUUUAUAAGGACAGUUUGAAAUUCUCUACUAAUACAUCCAUCCUCUUGUGAACUUUUCCGAAGUAGAACUAAUGGCAUAGAAGUUAGCAGAUCUCACAGAAAACUCAUUCCUAAGGGACUACCUGUAAACUCAGAAGUUUCUGUCUUCACGUGAUCAAAUGCUCAGCAGAACCCCCUCUUGCUCACUCACCGGCACUCAAAGUGCUUUACCCCUCAGCACCAAAACCCCCUGUGCCCAGCCUUUCCUCUUCUCUUCUUGGCCCCAGAAAGGCCUCAGGCAAUAGAGCUGCGGGACCCGGGGGAGCACCCCUCCCCUCCCUGCCAUCCCCAUUAUUCGGCACACAGCCCUGUUCUCCCCUGGAGCCAACAGUCUGCAGCUCCUUCAAUGCAGGCGCGAGCAGGCAAGAAUAGUGGGAAGAGAAGCUGUGCCAGCUGCAUGUUUCAGAAUCUCCCUCCAUAUGCAUUUGCCAAAGGAACAAAAAGAAAAUCAACGCCAGGAAGACAACUGAGAUGAGGAUGCGGUGGGACCGCGGCUGACUCCGUGCCUCUUAGCAGCAAGAGGCUGGCCAACCACGCGUCCGAGCCAUAGAUGCGAGUGGUUACCUUCAGGAUGCAGGCCAUGGCGCUCCGCCGGCCCUCCUGCCACCAAGCAGCCGGCGCGCCUGGGUCAGGGGCAGUCCCGGCGGCAGGCUGGAGGCUGGUACCGCUGCAGGACCGCUCCAACCCACAU
rnacentral:lncRNA from 1 species